UGUCCUAACACAUGCAAGUACGUCACGAGUAUUUUUAACUCUAGUGGCGGACGGGUGAGUAACACGUGAGAAUUUGCCUUUAGGAGGGGGAUAACAAUUGGAAACGAAUGCUAAUACCCCAUAUGCUUUUGAGUGAAAUGGAUUUAUAUUUAUCCGCCUAGAGAGAAGCUCGCGGCUGAUUAGCUUGUUGGUAAGGUAAGAGCUUACCAAGGCGACGAUCAGUAUCUGGUUUGAGAGGACGAUCAGACACACUGGAACUGAGACACGGUCCAGACUCCUACGGGAGGCAGCAGUGGGGAAUUUUCCGCAAUGGGCGAAAGCCUGACGGAGCAAUACCGCGUGAGGGAAGACUGCCUAUGGGUUGUAAACCUCUUUUUUCAGGGAGGAAUAAAAUGACGUGUACCUGAAGAAUAAGCAUCGGCUAACUCCGUGCCAGCAGCCGCGGUAAGACGGAGGAUGCAAGUGUUAUCCGGAAUCACUGGGCGUAAAGCGUCUGUAGGUGGUUUAAUAAGUCAACUGUUAAAUCUUGAGGCUCAACUUCAAGAUCGCAGUCGAAACUAUUAGACUAGAGUAUAGUAGAGGUAAAGGGAAUUUCCAGUGGAGCGGUGAAAUGCGUAGAUAUUGGAAAGAACACCGAUGGCGAAAGCACUUUACUGGGCUAUUACUAACACUCAGAGACGAAAGCUAGGGUAGCAAAUGGGAUUAGAUACCCCAGUAGUCCUAGCCGUAA
rnacentral:rRNA from 1 species